UGGGGAAUUUUGGACAAUGGGCGCAAGCCUGAUCCAGCCAUGCCGCGUGUGUGAAGAAGGUCUUCGGAUUGUAAAGCACUUUAAGUUGGGAGGAAGGGCAUUAACCUAAUACGUUAGUGUUUUGACGUUACCGACAGAAUAAGCACCGGCUAACUUCGUGCCAGCAGCCGCGGUAAUACGAAGGGUGCAAGCGUUAAUCGGAAUUACUGGGCGUAAAGCGCGCGUAGGUGGUUCGUUAAGUUGGAUGUGAAAAGCCCCCGGGGCUCAACCUGGGAACUGCAUCCAAAACUGGCGAGCUAGAGUACGGUAGAGGGGUGGUGGAAUUUCCUGUGUAGCGGUGAAAUGCGUAGAUAUAGGAAGGAACACCAGUGGCGAAGGCGACCACCUGGACUGAUACUGACACUGAGGUGCGAAAGCGUGGGGAGCAAAACAGGAUUAGAUACCCUGGUAGUCCACGCCGUAAACGAUGUCAACUAGCCGUUGGGUUCCUUGAGAACUUAGUGGCGCAGCUAACGCAUU
rnacentral:rRNA from 1 species